rnacentral:rRNA from 1 species
CCUACGGGGAGCAGCAGUGAGGAAUAUUGGUCAAUGGGAGAGAUCCUGAACCAGCCAAGCCGCGUGAGGGAAGACGACCCUAUGGGUUGUAAACCUCUUUUGUCGGAGAACAAAACCCGGGACGUGUCCCGGACUGCGUGUACCCGAAGAAAAAGCAUCGGCAAACUCCGUGCCAGCAGCCGCGGUAAUACGGGGGAUGCGAGCGUUAUCUGGGUUUAUUGGGUUUAAAGGUUGCGUAGCCGGUCCGUUAAGUCAGCGGUAAAAUUGCGGGGCUCAAACCCGACGGGCCGUUGAAACUGGCAGACUUGAGUUGGCGAGAGGGACGCGGAAGUCGUGGUGUAGCGGUGAAAUGCU